GAUGCCGGGCGCGGGCCAGCCGCGGGGUGGCGGGGCGGGGCGCUGACCUCACAGUCCGCGAGGAAGCCCGUCGUCGGGGGCCGGCCGCGCUGAUGGAAGGGCUGAGGAAUCCGCAGCUGGCGGCGCGAUGGGGCAUGUGCGUGUGUGUACACUUCCCCUUUAAACGUGGCCCGGAGAGGAGCGGUUGCCAUGGGCACGCACCGGGAAGGGGGGUGGGGUGGGUGAAACCGAGGCGCGCUCGGACCGAGGUCCCGGUCCGGUCCUGGUCCGGGACCUGGCGCGGGGCCCUGCCCGGGCGGGGGAGUCGGGAGAUCCCGCCGGCGGGGGAAGGGUGGCAAGGACCCGCCUCCAGGGACACCCCAAUCCGAGCCCGCCCCCCGCCCCCGCGGUGUCCCAGUCAGAUGCAGUCUUGGACCAGGGUGUCCUGAGGAGGCUCUGUGCCUGCCCUGCCCACCAAGAGGUGCGCCUCGCGGGGGGAGGUGGGGGACUAGCACAGGCUGCCCGCUGUUACCCUCCUUGGGCCCUGAGGCUGAGAGUUUAAAAGGUGCUUGACCUCACUUUUUGCCCAUGCAGCCACCACCCCUCACCGACCUCCACCCACCCGCUAACCUCCUCAACCUCUCCCAGCCUCAGUUUCCUUAUCUAUUAACCAGCGAUUAGUCAUAUCUACCAUACAGGGUGGUUGUGAUUAAAAUAGAAUAAUUAUGUAAUGUGCCCUGUGUGCUGUAGAUGGGGUCCUCUUUCCCUUCUCCCCCCUCCCUCCUCAAUCAGGCCUGGGAUCAGUUAGGUCCUCCUUGUCAACAUCCCGUCCCCCAGGCCUGGAGCUUCUCGUGGAUCAACACCCUUGCCAGGGCUCUCCCCACCUCCUUUCCCCUCAGGGUUACCUUGGAACCCUCCUUACACAAAAGGAUGGUUCAACUUGCUGUCGGAACCUGCAGGAAUCCCAGGCUGAGGUCCAGGAAUAUUAACAGAGGGCCCAGCCUGGCUGAAGUGAGUCAGCCUCUCCCGAACAUUACUUGCUGCUUCAGCUGCCCUUUGCAGAUUGGACCGGUUGGUUGCCAGGACUAAGUGGCCCCUGGAAAUCGCUGGGAAAACCAGCAUGUCCUGGGGGUGGGGUUAAGAGCCAACCCCAGCAUGCCAGGCCGGUAAGGGGCUCCUGAUACCCCUUUGUCUCCUCCCUGGGAACCGAGGCUCGGGGCUGGGGAGCAGUGGUACCCCCUGUAAGGAAGGGCGGGCCUGGCUUACUGUAACUGCCUGGCUAAAAGCCUGAUUGUCCUGUGGUUGGGCAGGCCAGCCAGAGAGGGGCCCUGGUGUAGGGAGAGCUCAUGCAGUGUGUGAAGUGGAGAUAGGCAUGACUGCUUUCCCAAGGAGAGUUACUAGACCAGGUGGGGCUGCCAAGAGGGCGCCAUUUCUCCCCCCAAGCAGGUCAGGCCACUAGUUAAAUGCCAGAUUAUUUGCAAGAAAUAGUUGGUCCAGGGCUCAGCCCCUUCCCAGGGGCAUCAGAGCAGCCAGUGUUGACCCAGCACUCACUAUGUCCUGGGCGACGUGGGUGUUCGCUCACUGAUCUAUGACAACAACCCUAGGAAGUGGGGACCGUUAUUAUCCCCAUUGUAACAGAUGGGGAGCAGAUUCAGAGAUCUGCCCUGGUCUCCUAACUUUGAGGAGGCGAACUGAACCGGGAUGAAAACCCAGGCGCUUGAUCCCCAGUCCGUCUGGCCUCCUGGGCGUGGGAACCAGUGUGGCCCGGAAGAGUAGUGGAUGGCCCAGCGGACUGCCCAGGUGUCUGAACCCCUCCCCCCAGGCACGCUGUCUGCUGGGUACUCAGCUGACUUCCUGUCCCUGGAAGAGCAGCUGCGGGUAUGCUGGGGUAGGGCGGUCCCCUUCCUGUAGUUCAGGUAAAAGCAUAACCCCAUGCCUUCUUGGCAUCCUCCCUCUCUCCUUUCCCAGGCUCUAGAUGUCAGACAGAACUGGAUGCCCCAGAAAGCCUCUCAGGGCCAGAGAUUUGUCCGGAGUCUCCAGUUGUAGCUCUAACAGACCACCUGGAGCUUUCUUCAUCACGCUUCCUCUCUAAUGAUGAUGGCGAUGCAGAGAUGAAAGAUGCAGAUGGAAGUCCCUUAACUUCAUAUCCCCAGCUCUCUCUAACCUGGUCGUCUGGAACAUCUGAGGGAUGGAGGCUGCCGCGCUCCUGUGUCCACUUCACCAUCAGAUAACCCAGGGCUUUGCAAAGAGCUGGCUGUUGGGCAUCCCCUGGACUUUUCCCUAGGUGACAUUGCCAAGGAACUGUGGCACUGGCAGAUUUCCCACGCCCAGCCCCGAGGCUUCACCUUCCCCUGUCUUUUGCCCAUGGAAGCUCAGAAUAAGCUUUCUAGAGGAUGCUCUUUCUUGCGUGUAGCGUCAUCUGAGGUUGCUAAUACUGAAGCUCUUCACCAGAGAAACGUAGGAAGCAUCCCUGCAGCUAAAUGAGGCAAUGUCUGUAGAGGACCAGGCCAUGCCAAGCAGGCUACAGACGCAUGCUCCCUCCUCCCCAAGAGGCACUGCCCUUGGCUGUGCAGACUGCCUCUCAGGCCUGCCCUUGGCCAGGCCAUCUGCUGGGCCCAUCCCUGGGCACCUUUGAAGCCUGUCCUUUGCUCAAGGUGUCUUGGAUGGAGUAUAAAGGGGCCUUGCUCUUGUUCCUCUACCCAAGAGCAAAGAAAGACACAUUUGUUAGGCUCUUCCUGGAAAAUGCAAGGAAAGAAAAAAAAAUGUUCUUAAUUUUAGAUCCUGCAGGACCAACCAGCAGUACAGGGUUGAAUAGUAUACCCCAAAUUCAUGUCCAUGUGGAGUCUGUGCAUGUGCCCUUAUUUGGAAAUAGGGUCUUUGCAGAUGUAGUUAAAGAUGAAGUCAUACUAGAUUUGUUUGGGCCCUAAUCCAAUGACUGGAUACAAGAAGAGGGAGAUUUAGACAUAGGCACACGGGGAAGACAGCCAUGUGAAGACGGAGGCGAAAACUGGAGUGAUGCGUCUAUAAGCCAAGGAACGCUAAGGAUUGCUGGUGAUCACCAAAUGCUGGGGAGAGGCAGGGAAGGAUUCUCCCCUAGAGACUUCAGAGGGCACAUGGCCCUUGCUGAUAUCUUGAUUUGGGACUUCUGUCCUCCAGGAUGGCCAGGGGGAGACCAAGGCCAACAGCAUUCUCAUGCAGUCCUUGUCUGUUUCCCACUGAACCCUCCAGAGAGCAGCAGGGAGGGCCACUGAGACCAGAGAGCAGAGUCCUGGGCGGGCUGACUCAGUUGCUCGAAUCCUCCCUCCGAGGCCAAGAACACCUGUGAUCCUGGAUCAGGACAGCUUUCUCCUCCCAGAGGAAAGCUCGGACCCCUGCCAUCACCUCGCCGCUGAAUCCUGGUCAGCGAUCUGCCAGUUCACUGUGUUGCUCACAGUGGGAAGCUAGACUGCGGUGAUUCAUCAUCACGCAUCACCCCAUGGAAAGUUCAUCUACGGCGCACAUCGGAGGGACGUCAGGGGUCAAGCAUUUGGUGGGCUUCCACUGGGCGCCACCGACUCUGCCGGAUUUUGUGAUGAAUGUAAAAAGCUGGAAGAUCCAGUGCCUGGUGCACAGUAGGCAUUCAAUAAGUUAUCAUCGAAGGAAUGAAUAAGAGAGUUCUUCCUUCAGAGAGUUCAUAGUCCAGCCUGGAGGAAACUGGCAACCACCAACGAGAGGCAGAAUUGGAAGAGGGAGAAGGGCUGUCUGGGCUGGUGGGAUAACCCCCGUGUGAAACGGGCUCACAGACUGUAAGUCUCUUGAAGUCUGAAUGUUUCCUGGUUGGCAAUGAUCUCUCCAGCAUUGGUCACAGUGCCCAGAACAGGGCUCCCACCUGCAUUGAUAUCACCUGGGGCACUGGGCAGUCUAGGUUUUCCACCUUUCUCUAAGGCUGGGCCUGAUUAUUACAACGAAUAGCAGCUGUGAUCGUAUUUACGAGGAGAGCGCGCAGUUUUAGUGUUCAGAGCCCUGGCUUCAGAUGAGAGCCAGGGGCCUCUGAUUCUCUCUGCAAUGCAGCCUUCCAGGCCACUGCUGUUGCUUAAGGCUGUGCUGCAAUCCGGAGCACUCAGGAGUGGGAAGUCCAGAGUUCUCCCCACUUCUGGGAACAGCCCUCCAUCCCCCUCCCCGCGCCAGCUUCCACAGGCAGUCCUCAUGACAGUGGGUCAGGCUAACCCAGGGUUUCACAAAUGCCUGGCCUGUUCCCAGCACAGCACAGCUGGGAGGGCUCAGCACUGGGGGAAGGAGCACCGUCCUCCUCCCCCUGCCAUCCUCAGGCUGGGGCCCAGGGGCUGGAGCCCAGCAGAGGGAAGGGCUGCACUUGUCUGCACUUGCCCCAGUGCGGGCAGUGAUCCUGGGCCUUCCCUCCCUGCUAAUUUCCCAGCUCUGGCUUAGUCAAGGUUCAAGGAGGAUAUUCCCUUUACCGGGAAGUGAGGAGGACCCAGGCUUGUCUUCCCCAAAGGAAGCGAGUGGUCUCAGAGUCACCUGAGGAGGUGUUGCGUAUUGAGAUUCCCCACUCUCCUUGGGGCUUCUGAUUCAGAAAAGCUGAGCUUGGAGUCCGGGAAUCUGCAAUUUCACCCACUCCCUGGGGGCUAUAGCCGCAGGUGGUUCUUUGGCUUUCAUGAGCCUUGGGAGGGAGGCAGCUCUGGGAGGUGAGAAGGGUUGAGCCAAAAAAAGCCCUGUGUUCUCAGGUAGGACCUCCGGCUCUCUCUAAUGAGCUCCAUGACCCUGGAGUAACUGCCCUUGUAAUCCAAGUCUCACUUUCACUAUCACUGAAAUGGAUGUGUGACCCGAGGGAAGGGUGAUCAAAUGUCCUGGACAUUCAGGGCUACUAACCCAGGACAAGCUGGUCACCGUACCUGAGGAUGAGACAGGACUGUGGAUGUUCGAGGUACUGGAAAUGUGACUUAAAGAUGAGUCUUUGCGGCACAAGUA